rnacentral:rRNA from 1 species
CGGACGGAGUGCUUUUAUUAGAACAAAACCAAUCGGUGGCGGGUGCGUUCGCGCGCGCUCGUCAUCGUACAACUUGGUGACUCUGAAUAACUUUACGCUGAUCGCACGGUCUCGCACCGGCGACGCAUCUUUCAAAUGUCUGCCUUAUCAACUUUCGAUGGUAGGUUCUGCGCCUACCAUGGUUGUAACGGGUAACGGGGAAUCAGGGUUCGAUUCCGGAGAGGGAGCCUGAGAAACGGCUACCACAUCCAAGGAAGGCAGCAGGCGCGCAAAUUACCCACUCCCGGCACGGGGAGGUAGUGACGAAAAAUAACGAUACGGGACUCAUCCGAGGCCCCGUAAUCGGAAUGAGUACACUCUAAACCAUUUAACGAGGAUCAACUGGAGGGAAAGUCUAGUGCCAGCAGCCGCGGUAAUUCUAGCUCCAGUAGCGUAUAUUAAAGUUGUUGCGGUUAAAAAGCUCGUAGUCGAAUCUGUGUCCCGCGCCGCCGGUUCAUCGUCCGCGGUGUCAACUAGCGCGUGGCGGGACGUCCUGCCGGUGGGCUAAGCGAUGCUCCUUUCAGGGAGCGAGACACGCCCGACUCAAUCCUGCCGCGGUGCUCUUAACCGAGUGUCGAGGUGGGCCGGCACUUUUACUUUGAACAAAUUAGAGUGCUUAAAGCAGGCUAAAACUUCGCCUGAAUAUUGUGUGCAUGGAAUAAUGGAAUAGGACCUCGGUUCUAUUUUGUUGGUUUUCGGAACUCCGAGGUAAUGAUUAAUAGGAACGGAUGUGGGCAUUCGUAUUGCGACGUUAGAGGUGAAAUUCUUGGAUCGUCGCAAGACGGACAGAAGCGAAAGCAUUUGCCAAAAACGCUUUCAUUGAUCAAGAACGAAAGUUAGAGGUUCGAAGGCGAUCAGAUACCGCCCUAGUUCUAACCAUAAACGAUGCCAGCUAGCGAUCCGUCGAUGUUCCUCCGAUGACUCGACGGGCAGCUUCCGGGAAACCAAAGCUUUUGGGUUCCGGGGGAAGUAUGGUUGCAAAGGCUGAAACUUAAAGGAAUUGACGGAAGGGCACCACCAGGAGUGGAGCCUGCGGCUUAAUUUGACUCAACACGGGAAACCUCACCAGGCCCGGACACCGGAAGGAUUGACAGAUUGAGAGCUCUUUCUUGAUUCGGUGGGUGGUGGUGCAUGGCCGUUCUUAGUUGGUGGAGCGAUUUAUCUGGUUAAUUCCGAUAACGAACGAGACUCUAGCCUGCUAAAUAGGCGUAUUAUGACAUCUCAAAGGCUCGCCGGUACGUUUCGGGGGGCGCGUUCGCGCGCGUCUUUCGUUCGUAUCGCGCGCAGUUUUUACUGUCAGCGUACAAACAAUUCUUCUUAGAGGGACAGGCGGCUUUUAGCCGCACGAGAUUGAGCAAUAACAGGUCUGUGAUGCCCUUAGAUGUUCUGG